UUCGGCAAAAAUUGUAAACCCCUUUGUAAACCUCAAUUCUUUCAUUUGCAUAAUCAUUCCCCCUUUCGAUGCGUGGUCUUUUCCAUGCAUCGACUUUGCAUAGUGAGGAAAGAAGUGUUUAGGUAAACAAGGCUCGCCAUCUUUGCUCAUCCAUACUCCAUCCACCACCUUACAGCCACACUGCUUCCAUUUAUCUCUUUCUUGCCCUGAGGCAAAUUUUUCACUUCCCUGACUUGUGGCUGUUGGCUGCUCGCCCUGGACCCCUCCUCUCUGCUCUCCAUCUUCCUUGCUUCAGUCUGCUUCUUGAUUCUGCUGGUCCUCUGGGCAAUCCUUUGCCCAAUGACCGUCCUUUUUGCACAGUCUGCAUCUGGUACACUUGUAGGUUGCAUGUUUAUUAGUCUUGCAGAUCCAACAACCCCAUCUCUCAGAAUUUCUUUCAGUCUCAUUCGGAUAUCUUCCUCCUCGUCUUUUUCCUUUUCCCCCUUUUGCUUGUUGGUUUCGCUGCACAGAAUACCCCCCAGGUUUCGACACGGCUUGCACUACCGCCAGCUGCCACUCUCUGUCAGUCUUGGCUUUAACUCUUUCCUUCUUCGCCAUCUGCAUUUCCUCUGCAUGCAAAGCGUGUGCUAAAACAGCAGAUAACCGUCCACUUUUCCAUUCAAUGUAGCUGGUCUUGACCGCUUGUGUGAUUUCAGGUCUCAGUCCAUUCAAAAACCAGCUCCGCAGAUGACACUCCCAUGUGUCAGGGUGAUUUCCUCGCUCAUCUGGUACCUCUAAUCCGCUGUGUUUGUUAAAAAUCAGAUACAGGCGGUUGUAAUAGUCCUGAACAGACUCAUCUCUGCUCUGGCAGCAGUUGCUAAUCUUCGCUGUGUCCACACGCGCUGGAAAUGCUAUUUUUAUAGCUCCAGCCAGCUCUUCAACGGCUGUGCGGUAGUCUGCAUUAGCUCGGUGUUCCCAUUCACAGUGUUCUCUCCGACAGUCUUCUUUCUGCAGCUUUCCACUCACUUUAUGCCAGCUCGUAG
ensembl:lncRNA